rnacentral:tRNA from 1 species
UAGCUCAGUGGUAGAGCACAUGCUUAGCAUGCAUGAGGUCCUGGGUUCAAUCCCCAA